UAGUACAUCCAGGCUUUGCAGUUGCUUCAAUUCUAAUAACAUUCCAUGACAUAUAUAUAGUUUGCUCGUACCCGCUCAACUUCAGCUGGAAACAGUCUUAUUUUCUGUUUACUACCUAUUGAAAUUUAAUGUUAAUUUUUAAUUUAUGUUUUAUAUUUUUUUAUGUUACCUUGCCUUUUUUAAAAUAAUAAUUAGUUGGGGGGACUGGGCAUACUCAGUUGACUAAAGGGCUGUGCAUUUUCUGCUUAGUUUCUCUAAAUCUUGUAACAUUUAUACACAUUGUAGCAAGUAAAGGACUUUACUCUAGGAAUGGCCCCAAAACUGAAAAUUAUUUCCACAGAUGUUGCAAAUUAGCAUUUUUAUUUCUUUAUCUGGAUUUCUGUUUUUUUCAAUAAACAUUAAAACUGUGGGCUUUUUUUGUUUUUAGUUUAAUUUUCAGAUCAUUUAAAUUCUGUAAUCUUUAAUUUUCUAUGAGAAUUGUUAACUAUUAACUAUAUUAAAUAGUCUUAAGCACUCCCAGUGAAGAAAGUUAAUUUUACUUAUGAGGAAAAAAAAAAGUAAAAAAGUCUAAAGACUACAAGUACUAGUUUUGAGCUCCAGAGAUAAACUUGUACACACUGCAAUAAAAAUACAAGAGUUAAAAAUGAUGUGAGCUAUAUAUAGUUUUGGGGUUUGGUUUUAAUAGCUCUACUUUGUAAUUAUUUUUGAUGCAGAUAAAUACAUCAGGAAAUUAACCUUACAUGGCACAAACCAAAUACAUGAUGGUGGGUGGUGAUAUUGUACAAUGAAUUUCUACAUUUAAAGAACUAAAAGGUUAGGUUUUGAAUGGUAUAUCAAUGUCCACCUUGUAUACAUGCAUAUAAGGCACGUGCACAUACAUGCUAUGUUCUAUGUAAGGUUGUGCAUGUUGAUUUACCGGUUAUGGUAUGCUGUAGAGUAUGAGACAAAUAAAAGUUACAUUUUUGGACCAUAUUAAAACUGCAAACCAAGACAGGGAUCUUAUUAAAGAUCUUUUAGAAAAAUAUAAAUCCUGUCACUUAAGAUAUUUAGACAUGUGUAGAAUGUAGCUCAAUUUUAAGAAAGUGACCUAGAGGGUUAAUUUUGAAACUGAC
rnacentral:lncRNA from 1 species